AGCAGUCGCCACGGGAAAACGUAUGUCACAAGCGUUAUCCGGAUUUAUUGGGCGUAAAGCGCGUCUAGGUGGUUAUGUAAGUCUGAUGUGAAAAUGCAGGGCUCAACUCUGUAUUGCGUUGGAAACUGUGUAACUAGAGUACUGGAGAGGUAAGCGGAACUACAAGUGUAGAGGUGAAAUUCGUAGAUAUUUGUAGGAAUGCCGAUGGGGAAGCCAGCUUACUGGACAGAUACUGACGCUGAAGCGCGAAAGCGUGGGUAGCAAACAGGAUUAGAUACCCCCGUAGUCCCUGUCUCUUAUACA
rnacentral:rRNA from 1 species